rnacentral:lncRNA from 1 species
AACCAUAUAUAUGCAGAAGUGUUAUUGUUUAUUAGCGGUAAUUUCAUUUCGUGAGCAUGUGAUUUAUGGAAUUUUAUAUUUUUUCCGACAAUAUAACUUUGGAUUAUGUAGAGACAAUUUCUAAAAACAUAUUGAUUUAUACCCGAUUCGACAUAACGUCCUAUAGUCAUAUGAUGAGUAUUUACUUUUGAAAUUUAAGUUCAUUUAUUUUGAUCGGUUUUCGAAUUUUCUGCAAAUUCAGAAAAGAAAAAUGGACCUUUUUUUACGAAAAGGUAGCUGUUAUUACUGCAAAUUGCAAGUGAAGCAUUACAACGACAGUUGAUAAUUUAGGAGGUGCAAUCUGCAUAACAGAUUAUAAAGGGAGAAGAAAUCGACCCAAAAGGUUGAUCAACUUCGCAACCGAACGCUCCUCAAUAUCGAGACAAACGUCAAGUGCUCAAGAGACUAGAUAACGGAAUUCAUAACUACGGAACCCUAUGGAGCUAAUUAGACUCAAUCUCACCAAGUAUUGAAAGCUGGAAAAUAAAAGAGAAACAGACUUCAUAGCUUAUGGAACAGAAAAUGGAACUGACUGGAAGUUGGAUGUCGGUUGACCCAGCAGCGGGGGUUGGAGUUGUGGGAGAUGGUCAAAGUUGGACAAUUUGAACCCAGAAAAGAAUUUGAAGAUGUAAAUUUAAUUCCAUGAUAAGAAAGGUUCAAGUUGAUAUUUGAGGCCCAAAAAUGAAUGUUUAUGUCUUCAAUGGAAUGGACCACUGAAUUUUUGGGUACAAAUUAAAAGCUGAAGGAAAGAGAGAGACGUCAUCUCGGCCUGUUGGGUGGCCAUCAAAAGUCAUAACGAUGGUAGUUGAACAGGCUUUUAAUGGACUGGAUCUGACCCAUCUCAAUUAUUAACCAACCGUAUUCACCCAAUCCAGCCCACCUACUGAAAAUUUACUCACCCCCUAACCAACCCACAAACCACAGACUUUCGAUCAUACAUAAUAUAUUUAACUUUUUAGUUUUUAGUGAGUGAACUCUUUUUAAGUAUGAAAUUAUUAAUUGUCGGAGUAAACAUUCGUAUCAUAUCCUUCCUCUUUCAAUCAUCUCAACACUACUUUAUCAUGAUUUCAAUUAUUGCAUGUCCAUGCAUAUUUCCGUCCGUACGUCAACAGCAGCUUUGAUUUAUUGAUGUCCACCACCACCACCACCACCCCACCCACCUCCACCACCGAAUCCACCGCCUCCUCCACCUCCAAACCCACCCCCGCCGCCGGCACAUCAGCCUCAACCGCCGCUGGCACCUCCGCCUCCCCCUCCAACUCCACCACCUUUCCCAAAUCCUCCGCCUAUGCCACCACCUGAACCACCGCCAAACCCUCCUCCACCUCCACCGCCCCCACCAAUUCCUCCACCCUUUCCAAACCCACCACCAGAUCCACCUCCGAAACCACCACCCUUGCCAAAUCCACCGCCAGCUCCACCACCAAUGCCGCCUCCCUUGCCGAUUCCACCCCCUACUCCUCCACCCUUGCCAAACCCUCCACCGGUGCCACCACCAGCUCCACCACCCACACCGCCUCCAUCGCCGACUCCUCCACNN